UUUCCAAAUUGGAAAUCAGAAACCCUAAUCCUAAUUUUCCCCACCCCACCUUUCUUCCAAAACACUAACACCCCAAACAAAAGAAAGAAACAAAGAAAUGGAAAGGGAGAACAGAGAGUUUGGAAUCAGAGAAGAGGGAGCUGCACUCUGCGCCGUCCAGCUCGCUGCCGUAGCACCUCGCCUGCGCCAUUAUUCAUGCCCAUCGCCGUGCAGCCGUUGCUAACUCGCCUUGCCAUCACCGCCGCUGAAGCAAGGUCACAUCGCCGUCAGACUUGAAGCCGUUGAGGAGCUGAACGCUCGCGAGGGAGAGGACAAACACGAGGAGAGCUUGUGCGCGAAGGGUAGCGCCGCUGUGUCUCUGUCGCACCUUUAUCACUGUCGAAGCUGCACUUUCGCGUCACCAUCGUUGUGCCUCCACCGAACCCGUCACACCGCUGCUGUUGCGAUGUCAUUACUGUCGCGAGGGAGAAGAGAUGCGUGAGGAAGGAAGCUUGCAGGGGAGAAAGAAGAGGCUGCCUGUGCCACCUGCUCUGUCGCGUUUGAUCUCUGUUAUCACCGCGUCGCCGCCACCGAAGGUCCGCCGCCAUUGUUUCCAUCGCCUCCAUGCUUCAUGUUCAUCCUUCCAAUCAUUACUGUCUUUGUUCGGUAUUGCCGUCCUUAUCUGGGACCAUCGAUGUUAUUGUUGUUGCUUCCCCAGAAGAACUUAGGCUACUGCUACUAUUCCAGUCGCACUGGCUAUUGUAAAACUGGAAAAAAGAAGGGCAUCAUUGCGUUUAAAUUCGACGGUUUUGACUAAUUGAGGUAGGGGUUUAAAACGAUUUUAAUUUAAGAAUGCCUACAAGGUUUAUUGAAUAACUGCAAAUAGAUUCAAUAGCUGUGAGUAAUUGAUUGAUUAUGUGAAUAUUGAAUUGUGGCUGAAAUUGUGAUUGGGAUGGUUGAGAUUGUGAUUUGGAAUUGUUGAUUAGUGAUAUUGAUUGAUUAUGUGGAUUGGGAAUUGUUUGAUGACUAAUUGUUGAGAAUUUCUGAAUUUUAAUGGGUUAUGUUGGAUUUGUUGCCGUUGAGUUGUUAUUUGGUAUAUUGUAAUGUUAAUGAACUUAGUUGGUAGUUGAUUUGGAAUUGGUUUUGAGGGGUUUUGAAAGGUUGGAUUUUGAAUACUAAAUAGAUUGCUGAAAAUCUGAUUUUUGAAAUUAAAAGGUGACUUUGGAAGUGAAUCAGUUAUUCAACGAUAAUUGAAAUGAUAUAAGAGUAAAGGCUGAGUAAAGUAUAAUAAAAGUUGUUGUUGGGACUCAAUUUUGAGAAGUUUGAAUUAAUUAUAGAACUAGUUAUGAUUUUUCAAAGUUAAAAUGUAAAACUUGAUUUUCUGCAUUAUUUUUAAAGGAAGCCGGAAACUUUGAAAAAA